AGAGGAUAAAAAAAAU
rnacentral:sRNA from 1 species